rnacentral:lncRNA from 1 species
CGGGGUCUCUUCGCCUCUGCAAUCAAGCUCUCCCAAUAAACGUGUGCAGAAGGAUCCUGUUGCAGCGUUACUGCUGGCCAGUCUGGAGCGCGCAAGACCUGCCAUAGGUUACUGGCUUUUUAAUUGACAGGUGAUGCAUCCAUACAAUACAUGAGCUAGUCUCUCCACAGAUGCUUCUGUCUGUCAGGUAAUUAGUCACGGUAAUAAGAAAAGUAACCAAUGCAGGUAGGGCAAGGAUCCUCAUGUGCAGAGGGAGGUGAGGCAGGACAAUGAUGGUGAGCUGCACGCACACUGUGAAGGGAGGCUGGGUGAGCCAAGGGAGAAGAAGCAGCAGAGUGGGUGUGGAGAGGGGAACUGGCUGGCAAGACACCUGGAUGCCAAGUGCAACACCCACAUCCCAGAAACUGUCUUAUUGUGUGUCCAUGGGUGGUGCUCCAGAAAGACAGCCAUAUCCAACAAAAGGACCGUCGACCAUGAUUAUAGGAAUAAGAACCAAGACUCCAGUAGGGGUUUUAAUUGGGAGCGAAGAGGGCUGAUGCAAAGCACACAGCAUUGGAUGUGGGAGAUUCCAACUCGGGCUAGCAGCAGCAGAGAGAGUGCGAGCAGGUGGAUGGAGUGGUCUGAGAUCUGUUGUCUCGGGGGCAAUGUACACCACAUCUCCCUGGCAGUGUAAGGAGCAGGAUGUUUUCAUGUAAGAUACAGAUCAGUGGUCGGUUUGCCGUUGGUCUCAUCCUGUACCUGGUAGGUAAUGAGAUAAAGGCACAAAGGACAGACAUAUCUUACAGAAUUUUAACGGGAAGACAGAAGCUCUCGGUGGAUGGCGGGUGUUGUGGACUAAGGACAGGACAGCCUCUCUGUCUCGCUCUCACAAAGGUCUCUCUCUCUCUGUAGUGACUGCAGCUUCCCCCCACCAUGCUGUGUAAGCAGACGGCUUCUCCUAGAGUCACUCUGGCAUGGCAUUUUAUCAUUUUUAUUGAUUUUUCUUAAUUUAAGACAUACAAAAGUGUAUCUUCCAUUUGAAAAAAAAAAAGAAAGGCAAUUGUGUUUCUUUUAAUUGCUUUGGGGCCGUGCUUUCUUUCUGCUGAUUUACUCUCUUAAUAAACAGGCAGUCCUACGGUGAGACCGUUUUACUUGUAUAAUCAACUGACAUCAUUUUUUUUUAAAUGAAACUAACCCACUGCGGGCUGGAGAGAUGGCUGGAGUUCAGACUGCUGGUGAUUUCAAAAUGAGGCCUUGAGAAGCAGAAGAUUGAGGGAGACGGU